rnacentral:rRNA from 1 species
CCUACGGGAGGCAGCAGUGGGGAAUCUUAGACAAUGGGGGCAACCCUGAUCUAGCCAUGCCGCGUGAGUGAUGAAGGCCCUAGGGUCGUAAAGCUCUUUCGCCUGUGAAGAUAAUGACGGUAGCAGGUAAAGAAACCCCGGCUAACUCCGUGCCAGCAGCCGCGGUAAUA